UGGGGAAUAUUGGACAAUGGGGGAAACCCUGAUCCAGCGACGCCGCGUGAGUGAAGAAGUAUUUCGGUAUGUAAAGCUCUAUCAGCAGGGAAGAAAAUGACGGUACCUGACUAAGAAGCCCCGGCUAACUACGUGCCAGCAGCCGCGGUAAUACGUAGGGGGCAAGCGUUAUCCGGAUUUACUGGGUGUAAAGGGAGCGCAGACGGCAAUGCAAGUCUGAAGUGAAAGGCGUGGGCUCAACCCAUGAACUGCUUUGGAAACUGUAUAGCUUGAGUGUCGGAGGGGUAAGCGGAAUUCCUAGUGUAGCGGUGAAAUGCGUAGAUAUUAGGAGGAACACCGGAGGCGAAGGCGGCUUACUGGACGACAACUGACGUUGAGGCUCGAAGGCGUGGGGAGCAAACAGGAUUAGAUACCCUGGUAGUCCACGCAGUAAACGAUGAAUACUUGGUGUCGGUGAGGUAAACUCAUCGGUGCCGCAAGCUAACGCAUUAAGUAUUCCACCUGGGGAGUACGUUCGCAAGAAUG
rnacentral:rRNA from 1 species